UUACGAGUGCGCUCCGAUGAGUUUCAUUGUGGAGCAGGCUGGCGGGAAGGGAUCGGACGGCCACCAAAGGAUUCUCGACAUCAAGCCUGAAGAGGUAAGCUACCGUUACUUUUGUUGUAGUUCAUCUCGUUCUGUCUGAAACCAGAGAAUAAAUAUAGCUUAGAACAGUUAGUAUGCACACCGGGCUAAUACGGCGAAAUACAAAUCUUUGAUUUUACUAGAUCCAUCAAAGAGUUCCACUAUUCAUCGGAAGCGUUGAAGAAGUCGAGAAGUUGGAGAAGUUCUUGGCAUGAUCCUUUUGUACGGAAGGCCGGUUAGCCUCACAUAGGACUAUAUUUUGGAAGCCUUCCGCACA
rnacentral:lncRNA from 1 species